rnacentral:rRNA from 1 species
UACGUAGGUGGCAAGCGUUAUCCGGAUUUACUGGGUGUAAAGGGCGUGUAGGCGGGACUGCAAGUCAGAUGUGAAAAUUAUGGGCUCAACCCAUAACCUGCAUUUGAAACUGUAGUUCUUGAGUGAUGGAGAGGCAGGCGGAAUUCCGUGUGUAGCGGUGAAAUGCGUAGAUAUACGGAGGAACACCAGUGGCGAAGGCGGCCUGCUGGACAUUAACUGACGCUGAGGCGCGAAAGCGUGGGGAUCAAACAGG